rnacentral:rRNA from 1 species
GAUGAACGCUGGCGGCGUGCCUAAUACAUGCAAGUCGAGCGAACAGAUGAGGAGCUUGCUCCUCUGACGUUAGCGGCGGACGGGUGAGUAACACGUGGAUAACCUACCUAUAAGACUGGGAUAACUUCGGGAAACCGGAGCUAAUACCGGAUAAUAUAUUGAACCGCAUGGUUCAAUAGUGAAAGACGGUUUUGCUGUCACUUAUAGAUGGAUCCGCGCCGCAUUAGCUAGUUGGUAAGGUAACGGCUUACCAAGGCAACGAUGCGUAGCCGACCUGAGAGGGUGAUCGGCCACACUGGAACUGAGACACGGUCCAGACUCCUACGGGAGGCAGCAGUAGGGAAUCUUCCGAAAUGGGCGAAAGCCUGACGGAGCAACGCCGCGUGAGUGAUGAAGGUCUUCGGAUCGUAAAACUCUGUUAUUAGGGAAGAACAAAUGUGUAAGUAACUAUGCACGUCUUGACGGUACCUAAUCAGAAAGCCACGGCUAACUACGUG